GACGAACGCUGGCGGCGUGCUUAAUACAUGCAAGUCGAACGGACAGGCCCUGAGUUUGUGGGGUGCUCGAGUGGCGCACGGGUGAGUGACACGUGAGUAACCUGCCCUUGUCUUUGGGAUAACUUCAGGAAACUGGGGCUCAUACCCGAGAGGAGCUCCUGCUCCAUGUUGGGGGUUGGAGAGAGUCGGCGGUUGGGGCUGGACUCGCGGGUUCUCAGCUUGUUGGUGGGGUAGUGGUUUACCAAGGCUGUGAAGGGUAGCCGGCCUGAGAGGGGGACCGGGCACAUUGGGACUGAGAUACGGACCAGACUCGUACCGGAGGCAAAAGGGGGGAAUAUUGCAGAACGGGCGGAAGCCUGAUGCAGCAGUGCUGCGUGCGGGAUGACGGCCUUUGGGGUGUAAACCGAUGUGGACGGUGACGAAGCGUUAGUGACGGUAACGGGUCAAAAAGCCCCGGCUAACUACGUG
rnacentral:rRNA from 1 species